CAGCAGGGCCAAGAUGGGUCAGGGCAAAGAUGGCAUGUUAGGAUGCUUCCAGGGCACAUUCUGUCUGGUCCCAGUUACCAACAGGGAGGCUUGAUAAACA